GUGUGUCAGUCACAGCUGGAUUACUGUAUCCUACUGUAGCUGGGGAGGGUGAGUGUGUCAAUCACAGCUGGAUUACUGUAUCCUACUAGGGUGAGUGUGUCAAUCACAGAUGGCUCACUGUAGCUGAACUGAAACAAACUGCUCAACCUGGCUCAGUCAAUCAUAUCAAUUUAAUUAAUGAAGCAUUUUUCAUUAUAGGUGUUCUAUGAGGCUCAUUUAGAGAUUACAUGUAAUAGUCAUCACAGAUUGAAAACAAGUGUUGAUUGAAUGCAAGCCCCUCUAUCUUUUUGUCAAAGAAAGUGACAAUUGAGUCAGCAGGAAGUGUGAAAAAGCAGUU